GUCGACGCUUUGUGGUUCACUGAUUUGAAGAGCUUGCUCAGAUAUGACGAUGGACAUUGCAAAGAGUGGCGAACGGGUGAGUAACACGUGGGAAACCUACCUCUUAGCAGGGGAUAACAUUUGGAAACAGAUGCUAAUACCGUAUAACAAUGACAACCGCAUGGUUGUUAUUUAAAAGAUGGUUCUGCUAUCACUAAGAGAUGGUCCCGCGGUGCAUUAGCUAGUUGGUAAGGUAAUGGCUUACCAAGGCGAUGAUGCAUAGCCGAGUUGAGAGACUGAUCGGCCACAAUGGGACUGAGACACGGCCCAUACUCCUACGGGAGGCAGCAGUAGGGAAUCUUCCACAAUGGGCGAAAGCCUGAUGGAGCAACGCCGCGUGUGUGAUGAAGGGUUUCGGCUCGUAAAACACUGUUGUAAGAGAAGAAUGACAUUGAGAGUAACUGUUCAAUGUGUGACGGUAUCUUACCAGAAAGGAACGGCUAAAUACGUGCCAGCAGCCGCGGUAAUACGUAUGUUCCAAGCGUUAUCCGGAUUUAUUGGGCGUAAAGCGAGCGCAGACGGUUAUUUAAGUCUGAAGUGAAAGCCCUCAGCUCAACUGAGGAAUUGCUUUGGAAACUGGAUGACUUGAGUGCAGUAGAGGAAAGUGGAACUCCAUGUGUAGCGGUGAAAUGCGUAGAUAUAUGGAAGAACACCAGUGGCGAAGGCGGCUUUCUGGACUGUAACUGACGUUGAGGCUCGAAAGUGUGGGUAGCAAACAGGAUUAGAUACCCUGGUAGUCCACACCGUAAACGAUGAGUGCUAGGUGUUUGAGGGUUUCCGCCCUUAAGUGCCGCAGCUAACGCAUUAAGCACUCCGCCUGGGGAGUACGACCGCAAGGUUGAAACUCAAAGGAAUUGACGGGGACCCGCACAAGCGGUGGAGCAUGUGGUUUAAUUCGAAGCAACGCGAAGAACCUUACCAGGUCUUGACAUCCCUUGACAACUCCAGAGAUGGAGCGUUCCCUUCGGGGACAAGGUGACAGGUGGUGCAUGGUUGUCGUCAGCUCGUGUCGUGAGAUGUUGGGUUAAGUCCCGCAACGAGCGCAACCCUUAUUACUAGUUGCCAGCAUUCAGUUGGGCACUCUAGUGAGACUGCCGGUGACAAACCGGAGGAAGGUGGGGAUGACGUCAAAUCAUCAUGCCCCUUAUGACCUGGGCUACACACGUGCUACAAUGGCGUAUACAACGAGUUGCCAACCCGCGAGGGUGAGCUAAUCUCUUAAAGUACGUCUCAGUUCGGAUUGUAGGCUGCAACUCGCCUACAUGAAGUCGGAAUCGCUAGUAAUCGCGGAUCAGCACGCCGCGGUGAAUACGUUCCCGGGUCUUGUACACACCGCCCGUCACACCAUGAGAGUUUGUAACACCCAAAGCCGGUGG
rnacentral:rRNA from 1 species